UACGGGGGGGGCAAGCGUUGUUCGGAAUUACUGGGCGUAAAGGGCUCGUAGGCGGCCAACUAAGUCAGACGUGAAAUCCCUCGGCUUAACCGGGGAACUGCAUCUGAUACUGGAUGGCUUGAGUUCGGGAGAGGGAUGCGGAAUUCCAGGUGUAGCGGUGAAAUGCGUAGAUAUCUGGAGGAACACCGGUGGCGAAGGCGGUUCUCUGGGCCUGUACUGACGCUGAGGAGCGAAAGCGUGGGGAGCGAACAGG
rnacentral:rRNA from 1 species